GUACUGCUGAAGAGUCCCAAAUUAGGACGAAAGAGUUGUCCAGUGC
rnacentral:hammerhead_ribozyme from 1 species